UUGGAGUUGAAACAUGUCUGCUUGUCUCCUUUUUCUUUUUUCACUGCUCUUUUCAUCUGCACAUUUCCCCCUUGUCGUUUCUUCCCCCUCUUUCCGCUUAACCCCCUCCUCCAACUCCCAGGAAGUUGUUGACGUCGUUGCUACUCCGAUUUCUACUUGUGGAUUUGCCUCGAGGCCCUGAUCCUUGUCCGGCUGUGGAAGGGGCGGCUCAGGACCUAGUCGCGCAAUUUGCCACCCCGCGUGUGGGAGGCCGGAGCCCCAGUCCUUCCCGCUCGGUUCCACGGAACAGACGCACACGAGCCUUCGAGGCUUCAAAUGCAGCCGCUAGGGGGCGCCCGCAGGCAGCCUCCCGCGCCCAGGGGCUAAAUCCACGAACCCGGUCACGGCUGGCUUUUCCUCUCACCCACGCGUCAGAAACUGUUUUCCACGUCUAGGUCUGUGACUUCUCGUGGAAACAUGGGGAUGCCCAUAUAUUCCACCUCUGGGUUUUUUCUUUCUCUCUUUCUUUCCUCACAGCUAGCACAAUGAUAAAAAGUAAAAGUGCUUUAUGUGACUGAACUCCUAAUAAGCCUGCUUCAGAGUGGGAAGGCAACCCUGCAAGGAAUCCACUGGAUUUGCCAGCGGCCCAUCAAGGUUGGGUCACAUACUGAACUAACACACCAACGUAUCAGGGACUUCUCAGACCAGGUUCCCUCUGGCAGGGCGGCAGGCGAUGCACAAGCUCUAGAUACCUGGUGAACAUGGCAGCUCAAAACAAGUGGAGAGCAGUGUGAGGUGAGCAAUACCAAAGAUGAAAUUUACCAAUAUUGCCACUGAUCUCAGUGGCUCAGACUGUGCCCCUGACGUUGAGACCCACAGAUGGAAAGCUGCUUUCCUACCUGUUUGCACACAGAGCAACCCUUGCCCACAUCUAGAUUUUUUUUUUUUAAGGAAACUUCAGAGUCUUUAGGAUGAUUAACUCUCACUUAAGAGAUAGAGUAAAUGAGCUCUUUCCCCAAUAAUCAAAGGAAGCUUUCAAUACUGAAACAUCUCAAGAAUGUUCUGACCUGUUCAUUGUAUUGUUUAUUCUGAAAGACAGUGUAAUGGGUAGGAAGACAGAUUCUGGCAUCAGAAGGCCUGAGCUCCUAUCCCAGCUAGGCCACUUGUAAUUGUGUGACCUCAAACAAGUUACUUAUCUCUCAGGCCUUCAGUUUUCUGAUCUCUGAAAUGAGGGUAAGGUUGUUGUGAGGAGUAAAUGAGAUAAACUAAGGAUGGUACCUGGCACAGAGGAAGAACUCCAUAAAUAUGAAUGCUCAUCCUUUUACUUUUCAUUAGCACCCGUCAGAGACCACUCAACAUUUAUCAUACAGUCAUCUUGCCCAUUGGAAAGGACGUUCGGUUUUGUGAAAAUGAGGGGCUUUCUAAAUAUGACCCAUUACUUCCAACCUAUCAACACAUAAAAGAUUCCCUUAGGUAUACUCAUAUGUAUAGUUUCAAAUGUCCAUGUGAUGUCUUGAAAAAUUGAAGUCUUUUAUUGAUAUUAUGACUUUUAAUGAAUAAAUAAAUAUUCUUAAAUUGAUUAGAAAUGGAAUUUCAUUGGCUAAAAACAUAAGGUAAACUAUAAAGUAUGCAGCAAAGUUUUAGUAAGUCUGGUGCUGUUUUACAUCUGCAACCAGAAACUGUUAGUAGGGGGAUGAUUCAGUGAGUAAGUUGCAUGAACUAGACACUAAGUUGGUCUUAUAAUAGCACUUUGGUGAAGACAGCCGCUGCCUGAACUAAGCCAUUUUCGAGUGGCAGGGGAGCAACUAGCUUCCCUUCCAGCCUCCUUCUUCAUGGCUGAGGUUCCUUGUGUGUCUUGCCUUGCUUCCUUUCGGGGUGAGAGUCCUGUGGGAUACUGGAGGGAAUGAAUAGCUACCUUGAGGUGAGAGCAUGUCCCUGCCCGUGUCCACUGGGAGAUGCACUGUUAACUCCCUUGGCUUUUCUAGGGAUGCAUGCUUCAUGGGAGUUUUCCGUAAAGCCCUGACCUUUUCUUCUGUUUCUGGUCCUGACUCAGGGUGUGGAGCACCUAGGAGACAAGGAGAAAGCCAAGUUUUGUAGAUGUCUGUGGUUUUUGCCAACUGUCUCUUCUUUUUGGGGACCCAUCUCUCCCCUGCUCACACUAUGUGGUUUGGGUGGAGCUGUGUCCAUUCCCUGACUCUGGGGAUGGGCGUGUGACUGGCUAAUGAGCACAUUUCAUUGUCUUAGCUGCAAUGAUUGGGUCCAGGUUGGGCAUGCAACUCAAGCCUGGCCAAUUAGAGGCAAUUUGGUACUUUUGCAAGAGCUUUUAAGGGGCAUAUCCUUUCUAGUGGGGUUAACAGAUAAGAGAUUAGCAUGAAAAUGCAGGAGGCCAGGCCAUUUGGGUGGUUUAGUUGGUUAA